CGAGUCUUAACUGGGCGUUAAGUUGCAGGGUAUAGACCCGAAACCCGGUGAUCUAGCCAUGGGCAGGUUGAAGGUUGGGUAACACUAACUGGAGGACCGAACCGACUAAUGUUGAAAAAUUAGCGGAUGACUUGUGGCUGGGGGUGAAAGGCCAAUCAAACCGGGAGAUAGCUGGUUCUCCCCGAAAGCUAUUUAGGUAGCGCCUCGUGAAUUCAUCUCCGGGGGUAGAGCACUGUUUCGGCAAGGGGGUCAUCCCGACUUACCAACCCGAUGCAAACUGCGAAUACCGGAGAAUGUUAUCACGGGAGACACACGGCGGGUGCUAACGUCCGUCGUGAAGAGGGAAACAACCCAGACCGCCAGCUAAGGUCCCAAAGUCAUGGUUAAGUGGGAAACGAUGUGGGAAGGCCCAGACAGCCAGGAUGUUGGCUUAGAAGCAGCCAUCAUUUAAAGAAAGCGUAAUAGCUCACUGGUCGAGUCGGCCUGCGCGGAAGAUGUAACGGGGCUAAACCAUGCACCGAAGCUGCGGCAGCGACGCUUAUGCGUUGUUGGGUA
rnacentral:rRNA from 1 species